rnacentral:rRNA from 1 species
CUGCUGCCUUCCGUAGGAGUCUGGGCCGUAUCUCAGUCCCAAUGUGGCCGGCCAACCUCUCAGUCCGGCUACUGAUCGUCGCCUUGGUAGGCCGUUACCCUACCAACUAGCUAAUCAGACGCGAGUCCAUCUCUCAGCGAUAAAUCUUUGGUAUCCAUACCAUGCGAUACAGAUACGUUAUGCGGUAUUAGCAGUCGUUUCCAACUGUUGUCCCCCUCUGAAAGGCAGGUUACUCACGCGUUACU